GGUCGCUACAAACUGUACGGUGUUAUGCUUUUUCCUCUUUCCACCAACGGUAGUACUACGCGUAAAAGAGAACCUAUCACAACAUUGAAUUGUAUACGCUCCUUAGAAUUCUAUUAUUCAUUUGAAUUAAAGGGAUCCUUAAAUAUUGUAUUAAUUUCUGAUAUAAAUUUUAUGUUAGUUUCUGUGCUCGGAUUAAAAAGCUUCGAUAUAUAUAUAUAUAUGUAUAUACUUACAUACUUCUGAAUAAAACGAAAAAAUAAUUUUAUGAGGUUUACAUAACAGUGCAAAAUUCUCAUUUCUUUAACGAAAAAAUGGAGGAUUCGUUUGAAAAUAUUAAUCCCAAAUUAUACAAAAAAAUAGAUGAAAGAGAAAUUACUGCAGAAGAUGAAGAUGAAGAUAUUGUAGAUGAAUUUGAUGCACGUGAAAUUUUCGAUUUGAUUAGAAACAUCAAUGAUCCUGAACAUCCUUUGACAUUGGAAGAAUUGAAUGUGGUAGAACAAAGUCUCAUCGAAAUUGAUAAUAAAGCAAGCACAGUUCACGUAAAAUUUACUCCAACGAUACCACAUUGCAGUAUGGCAACAUUAAUUGGUUUAUCAAUUAGAGUACAAUUACUGCGAGUUCUACCUUCAAGAUUUAAAGUUAGUGUUGAAAUUACACCAGGUACUCAUAUGUCAGAGGCAGCAGUAAAUAAACAAUUAGCUGAUAAAGAAAGAAUAGCAGCAGCUCUUGAAAACAAUCAUCUACUUGAAGUGAUUAAUCAAUGUAUUGGUAUAAAAUGUUAAUAUUAUCUAAAAGGGUCUGUUGGUUUAAGACGAUAAUACAUAGCUGUGUGAGAUUUCACGUGAACAAAAACAGAUUAAAGAAAGAAGAAGAAAAAGAUCGUGAAACGGAGAGGAAUGGCAGAAGACGGCACGGUUCUAAUUACAGAUCCACAUUGUCAGCGAAGGUCUCUAACCACCAUGCUUUGGCACCGACUGUCAAUUUCUCCACAAAAUAAUUCGUUAUCUGAAAAACUAAAAUUCAUACCUACAAGAAAGUCAUCACGUAACACCAACCGUUGUGACAAAAUAACGAAUCGAACCUUCGAAACCUCCCAAGAACCUGGUAUCCAUUGCGUAGAGUGUAGAAGAUUGAAGAUCGCUUCUUGGACAGGAUUACCCACUUUACGCCCGGGUAGCAGGUCAACCAGGGCGAAAGAUAAUGGGAUUGAGCGUUCUUCGAAAAGAACAAGAUAGUGAAGCUGUCACAGGAGAGGAACGACACCAAAUUCAGCCUUGUGUCAACGUCGUAUCGCGAUCCCUUUGAUCGUGCCGAUAAAGCCCAAUUCCUACAGAAUUUUCGUGAAGACGAACACCUAGUUAGAUGAAGUCAUUUUUGCUGAGAAAGCUGACCGUCCAUUACGUGUCAGUGUCCCAUUAAUUACAAAUCGUAAUAAUGUUUUUGGUUAAGAUUUAUAACCUCGUUUGAGAUUAUAUUAUUACUAAAGUGUAAAAUUAGAACUAAACGAAUUAAAGUGAUAAGCAUAUGGAAAAAUAUGUAAUUCAGAGAAAGUAAAUUUUCAUUCGUAUGCUUUACAAAAAAUCAUUCAGAUCCCUAAAAGUAUCAUUAUAUAUAAAUCUAUAAAAUUUUUAUGACGAAUUAUGAGUUGGCAUCUUAUAUUAUGUAAUAUGUGAAACAAAUCUCUAUUUAGAUUGCAUUUCUUUAUCUUUCUAAAAAUAUGAAUCUGAAUAAGCAACUGUACUCUACAAAUAAACCUCAAAGAUAGUGUGUACUCAAAUAAAGGAAACAGACACGUGA